GACGAACGCUGGCGGCGUGCUUAACACAUGCAAGUCGAACGGAAAGGCCCUGCUUUUGUGGGGUGCUCGAGUGGCGAACGGGUGAGUAACACGUGAGUAACCUGCCCUUGACUUUGGGAUAACUUCAGGAAACUGGGGCUAAUAACGGAUAGGAGCUCCUGCUGCAUGGGGGGGGUUGGAAAGUUUCGGCGGUUGGGGAUGGACUCGCUGGUUAUCAGCUUGUUGGUGGGGUAGUGGCUUACCAAGGCUUUGACGGGUAGCCGGCCUGAGAGGGUGACCGGCCACAUUGGGACUGAGAUACGGACCAGACUCCUACGGGAGGCAGCAGUGGGGAAUAUUGCACAAUGGGCGGAAGCCUGAUGCAGCAACGCCGCGUGCGGGAUGACGGCCUUCGGGUUGUAAACCGCUUUCGCCUGUGACGAAGCGUGAGUGACGGUAAUGGGUAAAGAAGCACCGGCUAACUACGUG
rnacentral:rRNA from 1 species